GUUUAAAUUUGACUUCUUGUUUCAGCUCCAGAGUCGCCGCCGCCGAUGUCAUACACGCCAGUACUAAGACCAGCGCCUGAAUAUUACUGGGGUCUGCCACCACAGCAUUGUCAGUGCUGUGUCCAACG